AGCACUUUGUAUUCUGUUCUGAGGUUCUGGAGUCACCUUUUCAUUACUAUGAGACCUCAAAGUGCUUUGGGGGAAGUUCGAGGAACUCAAAUUCUAUAAAAGGGUUCUUGUAAGAUCUGUAAACAUUUACAUGGUUCCUGGAAGAUCUCUUUUUUUAAAAGCCAGCAUCUAGAGGAACCCAAAAGUUCUGUGAGGCCACAAUAAGAUGUACAGCUUUGAACAUGUAUUGUUAUUAUUAUUAUUAUUAUUAUUAUUAAUUUAUUUAUUUAUUAUUAUUUUUUUAUAUACUUAAGUUUGAUUAAGUAGCCUAUAGCCUACAUAGGCAUACAUUUAUUCUGUAUAUUUUAUAUAUUUAAUUUAAAGCUUAAAUAAUAAUAAUUAUUAUUAUUAUUAUUAUUAUUAUUAUUAUUAUAUGAAAAAGAAACAAGAGGAGGAUAAAAAUGAUUAUGCUGUCACGGAACUGCUGCUAUUCCUCUGCUGUCAUCGCUUCAGUGAUCCUCGCGCUGCUCGCGCGCACAAAAGCUCACCUCAUCAUCAUCAUCAUCGGAUUUGAAAGUAACGGCUCCCCUCAUCAAAGCCUGCCGCCGCAUCCGCGGUUUGCUCGGCUAUCCGUUAUAAGAUUCUCUCCAAUAAACAACCAUUUCUGAAAUAAUCUCGAAAUGUUAGAGUACCUGAACCAUGUAAGUAUUGAAUUACAAUUUUCUGUGUGAAAUUGUAGCCUAUGUUUGACUGUGUACUUGUGUUUUUAACUUUACCUACCUACUGUAAAUCUAAUUUCAAUGACAGUUUGGGAGAUAUUCACAGAUCAAGAUAUACAAGGUGCUGUAAUGUGGUGAGUUUUAGAAGUAAGGUUAAGGGAUAUUAAUUUAAUUUUAAGCUGCUCUUUUCCAUUUAUCAAAAGUGAUUGGGUAUAGGAAACUUCAAAAUUAACUUAAAACCAUUCAUACACUAUAUUCCUAGUUUUUAGAAGUCAUACAAUAGCUAUUUGUGAUGAACAGACACAAAUUUAAUCCAUUAUUCUCUGAAAAUCUUCCCUCGUGCUCUCAAAUCUCAUUCACGUUACUCAUAUAAAUAAUAUGACAGGUAUGGCAUCAAUGAUGCUAGAUGCCUUUUUUCUUAUGCCUUAAUCAUUUGCAUUUGAAUUUAAGACAUUUGAACUUGAAAUUACAUCUUCAAGUUUAGUCUUUUUUAUAAAAACAAAGAAAGAAAAAAGAAAGAUAUUGUGUGGCUUCAGAAGACUUACAACACAACUCAUAACACAUGAUUUGUGCACUCGUAUGAUACUUUUUAGGAUCUUUUCUUGGACAUUUUUGGAGCUUAGAAUAUUUAUCCAUUUUACAUAGAUUGAUGCAUUGAAUUGAAUGAGACUUGAAUUGAUUAAUGAAUGAUUUACACAAUUUUUUUUCUGUUUGUGUUUCAUGCAAUGAAAUUGAACGGUGACUGCAUUAUGCCUGAGAUCUGCUUUUGGGUUCCACAGACAGAGUCAAACAGGGAUCUUGGCCUAGUAUACUGAAACAAAAAUCCCCCUGUAGACCUGGAAAUCAUUGAAGUGCCUGGAUCAUCCACCAAAAAAGAGGAAAAAGAAGCCUAGCAGAAAACAAAGUUGCUGUACCUUUUUACUUUUCUGAUUAAUUACCUCAAAUGUACCUUGUGAAGAUUUUAUUAUUGAUUGGAUUUUAUGUUGCCGCGAGUAAAGGUGCAGUCACAUUUGUGACAUUUCUGUGAAAUCACGCAGGCAAAAAGGUCCAUUUAUCAUUUUCAGCAAUAUAGUGACGUAUUAUAUGAUGGAGCUCAUAUAGGAGUCACUUUCAGUCAGCUUUCUGUUGGUCAAAUCUGGCGAAUUUGAGUAACCAACUUGGACUCAUAGUGAAAUUUUUGACCACACAUGAAAUUAAUGAUUGUGUGGAUUUCUAUUGAAAUUACUGGAAUUCAUUUUCCAAACAGCAGCAAAUUUUACUGCACCUUAAAGGGUUAGUUCACCCAAAAAUGAAAUUUCUGUUAUUAAUUACUCUCCCUCAUGU